UUUGCUCUCACAACACUCACCAGCUGUCUCACCCAAACGAGAAGGUGUUUAAGCGCCGGUCUGACAGCUGUGCCCCUACAAGCACUCGCUGACUUCCCCCAACCCCCACCCACACCCGCGCCGCAUGGAUUCCUCCGCCGGUGGCGGCGGCGUGGAGCCGGCCCGGUCGCUGGAGAUCGCUGCCAGGCUCCUCGCCGCGCGCGACCUGGUCGGCUGCAAGCGCUUUGCGGAGCAUGCGGUGGACGCCGACCCCCUCCUCCCCGGCGCCGACGAGCUCCUCGCCGUCGCCGACGUCCACCUCGCCGCCCAGCGCCUCCUCCCCUCCGGCCGCCCCGAUCCCCUCGCCAUCCUCCAGCUCCAGCCCAACCCCGACAGCGCCGACGUCAAGCGGGCCUUCCGCCGCCUGGCCAACCUCCUCGCCCCUCGCCGCAAUCCCCACCCCGGCGCCGACACCGCCCUCCGCGCCGUUGAAGAAGCCUUCGCCCACCUCUCCGAGAGCACCUCCACCGGCGCCGCCCCCGCUCCUGCUGCUCCCGGCGGCGCCUCUGCCGCAGAAGAUACGUUCUGGACGGUCUGCCCCCACUGCUGCCAUGUGCACCAGUACGAGCGCCUGCUGGUGGGCCGCUCGCUCAUGUGCGCGAGCGCCGGGUGCCGGCGACCGUUCGUGGCCACCGAGCUCCCGGCUGCUCCGCCUAUUGUGCCCGGCACCGACUUUUACUACUGCGCCUGGGGUUUCAUCCCAAUGGGUUUUCCUAAGCCCGCUGAUCUGUGCACUGACUGGAAGCCAUUCUUCCCGAUGCCACGGGAUUCAUCUGCUCCACAGCCAGCAUCUCAGCCAGCACCUACGGAUAAUUUUGGUAAGCAGAAUGUUGGGAAUAAUGUUGGAGUUGGACAUACUAAUGCCAAUGCACCGCCAUCAAAUGCACAUCCUGGGAAUAAGAGUGCUGGUGGUGGCACUGUGGCAGGGCCGCCUAGAGGUAAAAUCAAGAAGACAGCAGCCCGCAAGAAGGUUGGGGGAGGCCUCAAAAAGCAUGCUUCUGGCGGUGUGGAGAGCGGCAUUGAGCCAUCUUUGCUUGGGCCUGAUUGGAGUGAAAAUGCAGAGGGUGGACACACUGAGAAUUCAAGAGGAAUUAACAUAAAUGAGGUGGCAAAGGCAACUGAUGACAGCAUGAUGUUGCAUUUUGGUGCGGAUGGGGACAUUGGGUUUGAUUUGGAUGUUGAUGCAUCAGAUGAUAUAAUGGAGAAUUUGCCUGACCUGCCGUUCCUGAGGGAAGAUGACAAUUCCAGGAGGAUGUUUUAGUUGAUGCGAUUGGUGAGGUAUAUUCCAUCAAAAUGGUGUAGGAUAGCAUGGUUGGAGGAAUUCCAACAUAUAUUGCUCCUUUGCUGUCACUUUAGCUUCUAAUUUCGUGUCUGUCGUGUUAGUCUUAUGUUGUGUGGUAAUCUAUUCUGUGUCUAUGGGUAGCUGGUAAUCUGUUGUAGCAUCUAGAUGAGUACUCCCGAAAAGUCUGUAGACUAGAAUAUCCCCAGAGUAGUUUGGGGAUUCAUAGUAUUUGUUGUCCCCGAAGCAAAGCAACUUAGGGAGCUUAUGGUGAAGCAAAUAAUGCACCCUGCAUGGAUGAAAGAAAAUAUCUGGACUGCAAAAGCCUUUCUCUGGUGACAUCAGUGGAGCCUUCACCACCCAUCAAAGAAGCCGAAUAAGAAGAGCGAGUGGAUUGGUUUAGGGACUAUCAGGCAUCAGUAGGUUGCAAAAUAUACUUGCUCUUUUGUGUCGUUCGCUUAGCUGUUCGUCCCCUAGCCUGAAUCGUGAGCGGAAAAUUCUGGCGGUGUCUGUUUUUGUGACUUGUUCACCGUGUUAAUUAUCAGGCUCCAGUGUCGCGCUUUAUCCUCGAAUCGUAGUCCUGUCUUUUGCUGCUGGAGUUGUUGUGUUUCUGUGAGCGGCAACUCUCUCAAGUGUUUCUUUCGUUCCCUAGGAAAAAGAAUAGUUUCUUGCCUGCA